rnacentral:rRNA from 1 species
UAAAAUGGGAGGUAAAUUUCUCCUAAGGCUAAAUAACGGCGAGAGACCGAUAGCGAACAAGUACCGUGAGGGAAAGAUGAAAAGAACUUUGAAAAGAGAGUUAAACAGUACGUGAAAUUGUUGAAAGGGAAACGAUUGAAGCCAGUCGUACCUUCGGGUAAUCAGCCUUUCGGGUGCGAUUCUGUGGAGUGUGAUGAGCUUAACACCUUCAUGCUUUGCAUAUUUGUGCUCUUGGGUGUACUUGCCCGUGUGGUAGGUUAACAUCGAUUUUGGUUAUCAUAAAAUGAUUGGAGGAAUGUAGCUUCGAUCUCGUAUUGAAGUGUUAUAGCCUUCGGUAGAUGUGAUGAACGAGAUUGAGGAUUGCAACGGAUACCCUUCGGGGCUACCUGUCUGGUCUCUGAUCGUUGCUCUGGUGCCGAAAGCUUGCUUACGGUCAUCAAAGUCGAUGGUCAAUAGGUUAGAACGGGUUAAA